rnacentral:rRNA from 1 species
GACGAACGCUGGCGGCGCGCCUAACACAUGCAAGUCGAACGAGCGAGAGAGAGCUUGCUUUCUCGAGCGAGUGGCGAACGGGUGAGUAACGCGUGAGGAACCUGCCUCAAAGAGGGGGACAACAGUUGGAAACGACUGCUAAUACCGCAUAAGCCCACGGUGCCGCAUGGCACAGAGGGAAAAGGAGCCAUCCGCUUUGAGAUGGCCUCGCGUCCGAUUAGCUAGUUGGUGAGGUAAUGGCCCACCAAGGCGACGAUCGGUAGCCGGACUGAGAGGUUGAACGGCCACAUUGGGACUGAGACACGGCCCAGACUCCUACGGGAAGCAGCAGUGGGGAAUAUUGCACAAUGGGGGAAACCCUGAUGCAGCGACGCCGCGUGGAGGAAGAAGGUCUUCGGAUUGUAAACUCCUGUUGUUGGGGAAGAUAAUGACGGUACCCAACAAGGAAGUGACGGCUAACUACGUG